GACGGUCUUGCUGUCACUUAUAGAUGGAUCCGCGCUGCAUUAGCUAGUUGGUAAGGUAACGGCUUACCAAGGCAACGAUGCAUAGCCGACCUGAGAGGGUGAUCGGCCACACUGGAACUGAGACACGGUCCAGACUCCUACGGGAGGCAGCAGUAGGGAAUCUUCCGCAAUGGGCGAAAGCCUGACGGAGCAACGCCGCGUGAGUGAUGAAGGUCUUCGGAUCGUAAAACUCUGUUAUUAGGGAAGAACAUAUGUGUAAGUAACUGUGCACAUCUUGACGGUACCUAAUCAGAAAGCCACGGCUAACUACGUGCCAGCAGCCGCGGUAAUACGUAGGUGGCAAGCGUUAUCCGGAAUUAUUGGGCGUAAAGCGCGCGUAGGCGGUUUUUUAAGUCUGAUGUGAAAGCCCACGGCUCAACCGUGGAGGGUCAUUGGAAACUGGAAAACUUGAGUGCAGAAGAGGAAAGUGGAAUUCCAUGUGUAGCGGUGAAAUGCGCAGAGAUAUGGAGGAACACCAGUGGCGAAGGCGACUUUCUGGUCUGUAACUGACGCUGAUGUGCGAAAGCGUGGGGAUCAAACAG
rnacentral:rRNA from 1 species